AUAGAUGUCUUCAAUUACGUCGAAUCAGAUUCUGAUAUUGAAGAUAGAUUUCUUUUUCCCAAUAAAGAUGAUUGGGAUACUGGAAUAACUUUUACUGCACGAACUACAGGUGAAGUGAGUAAAGUUUCAACACCUACUGCCACAGAAACAGUUUUACCAUGGAAAAGAGAGGAAGACAACCAUUCUACCAAAGCAUUACAACAAAAUGAAUUUCCAGCUUGGUGUUCCAAUAAGGAUUAUUUAAUAUACAGUUCCCCAUGUACAACAUUUUUAGGUCGAACGGAGCAAUAAAUUUGGUAGCCAUUGAACUUCAUGGAAAAUUACAAUCCGUAAAGAAUAUUAAAACUUUCACAAUUGGUGAAAUGUGCUUUAAAAAUAAUAAUGAAGUAAUUUUAAUAAUUGGCAGUAACAUUUUAGAAGGACGACAAAUAUUAUUAGAUAAACCAAUAGUGAUAUUACAAAAAAAAAUCAAUGAUUUCUCCAGUGAUAA